AUCUACAUGAAGGGCUAGACUGACUGAUGCAUGUGGUUGUUAUGCUUCCCAAAGCAACUGCAUAGGUCUGUUCUCCCAACACAGCUUUUCCUGAAACAGGCAAGUUGUCAUGGGGGUGGGGUGUGUGUGUGUGUGUGUGUGUGUGUGUGUGUGUGUGUGUGUGUGUGCUUAUGCAUGCAUGCACAUGCACUGAAUCACAGGGUCUAUCUACUUUGGGGUGGAAGCCCUGUAGGGAACAUGUAGACCAAUUUUGUUGUCAAAAAGGCUAGAGCUUUACUCUGGUGUGCCAACAUCCACUCCUGCGGCCCUAAGCCCCAGAGUCAUAGGUCAUUGACUUUCUUUAGAAACCACACCUCUGUGGGGUUUUUCCCUGAUGUUCCUAAAAGGGCCAUAUAUGCAAAGCGGUCCCCAGAUGCCAAAGGAGUCAAUACAUCAAAGAACAAAACUAGACAAAUUCAGUUUGUCGGUAAAGGGUGGUUUAUUGCAGAAACUUAUAGAUAUAAGCGUGAUCUUGGGUGGUCACAAGACACAUAGAUUUCCACACAGUUACCUCCCAGACCCAAAGCUCAUAUACAAUAGGGAAAGAGUGGACAUGUUGCAGCAAGAUAAUUAAAGACAACCCUCCAGAACAGGCAGGAAUGCCAUGUGCGUCAUAGCCCAUAACUUGUGUGACAGCAUCAUUUUUGACCUCUUCUUACACUAAGGGCAGUAAAUAAAGUAGGAAGCAGGAGGCAUUCAUGGGACUAGGGCUUGUCAGAAGUCAACAUGGUGGAUUAGCACCCAAAAUGGAGUCAUUUUUGUCCCCACACCGGGGACUAAGCACGGUAGAACUGGUUCCUUGAUAAAUGUAGGGUUAGAAAAGAUAGAUGUCAAGGUAGCCACUAGCAUUUAAUGCCUUAAAUGCCUGCUGCCUACUCUUGCUUUUGUUUUGGCCAAUCCUGAGCUUAGGGGUCCCUGGAGCUUGCACAGGAGAACAGCUGCCACCUCCACUGUAGCCUUCUUUUGAAGGCACUCAGGUUGCUUGUCUUCUUAUUCAAUACUACACGAUCUUCUUUCCGUAUUCUAGAAACCAGUCAAAAUCUCCAGUCCAUUCAUUGCCUGCUGUGGUUGUUUUCACCCUAUAUUUCUUUAUUUGUAACAUAUACUCAUUCAGCAUUUUGCACUAAAACCUAACCACUAUAUUUUUAAAAGAGUCUGGGUUCGAAACAAUAGGCUACUAUGAACCCUGCCUUUUGUGUUUGCAUAGGAUAUUAAUAUAGGACACCUUUGCUCUUGAUAUUGACUGCUGUCUCCAAAGGUUGAGUCAAAAAUCAUAGAUGGUAAAUGUUCCCAUAUUCCCAAGUGAAGUGCUUAGCCUCCUAUACGGAGCUAGCAAAGAAGGUGAUCAAAAACCUCUGCCAUCCUAACAUCCACCAAAGGGUUAAGAGGUUGAGAUUGAGUAAGAAUGCAUGUUGAAAAAAUUAUUGGCAAGCUGAUGUCUUUUUCUCCCCCUAACCCCAGACAUUGCGGAGGGGAGAGACUCGGGGACCUUUACCCCAAGUGUAGUGAGAAGGGCUUCGGAGACACACUUGGAAAGGUUGAUGAGUGUGGCUUAGAGUUGGUAAUGUGUUUGGCUCUUACGCAUGGAGCCAAAGCUAAAAGGCUAAGCUGAUGCCAUGUAUGAGGGCAGAAAAGCUUGAGAUUGCCAUGAACCACAUGGGCAAUGAGGAUUGUAACUGGAUCCAUCUGGAAGGAAUCCUACAUAGGAGAGCAGCUGAGUGAGGGGAUCCCAUCAGUAUCAGGGCAAGGGAACAAGGGUCAGGUGCUGAAGGUGAGGGUUGUUACAACAGUUCAGCUAGAGAAUGAGUCCCUCAUGAGAAAACUGGGCAAUGUGAAGUCUCACAGAGACCUCUGAAGAACCCACAAGUGCACUCAAAGGAAAAAAGUCAGCUUGGAGCCUCCAUACCCCAUCCUCAAUUAGGGCCUCAGCUCAGCUGGGAAAGAGGAGAAAAUCAAGGAAAUCGAAAGGAAACUACCACAUUCCUCUUUCCCACUGCAAGUUUCCAGCCCAGAGGAGGCCUGAACUGGUGCUGGAUGCUUCAUACCCUCGAUCACUGGACUCCAGGUUCUUCAGCUUUUGGACUCUUGGACCUACACCAGUGGUUUGCCAGGGGCUCUCGGGCCUUUGCCACAGACUGAAGGCUGCACUGUUAGCUUCCCUGCUUUUGAGAUUUGGGGACUCGGACUGGCUUCUCUGCUCCUCAGCUUGCAGACGGCCUAUUGUGGAACUUCACCUCGUGACUGUUUCUGGUGACUGGAAGUUCAAGAUCAGAGUGCCAGCAGAUGCAGGUUCUAGUGAGGAUCUUCUUCCUGGUUGCAGACACUGACUUCCUGUAUCAUCAAAUUAUGGAAAGAAAAAAGGUAGGUCAUUGGCCUUUCCUUAUAAGGUCACUAAUCCCCUUCAUGAGGGCUCCACCCUUGUGACCUAAUUACCUCCCAAAGUCCCACCUCCAAGUACCAUCACACUGGAGAUUAGAUUUCAACAUGUGAAUUUUGAGGGGAAAAAAUAUUCAAUCUAUAACAGGGAUCAAAAUUCUGUUCUGAACCUCUCUUCCAUGUGAGAUUGGAACUAGAUACAAGUGCUUGUUAUUUGUCAAAUAUUUGUGAUAUCUUCAACUCAUUUCAUAUUUAGAAGGACAAUUUUUCAACAGGUGGAAAUGAAAUAUUUAAAAGUGUGAUUUCAUAACAUCCUAAGUUAAACACAAAGAAAUGACUGAGAUUGCCAGAGAGCAGGAGCAAAUGUUGGUUGUGGGCACACAUACUCAUUUGUCCAUUUUACAGAAACAUGUAUUGUUAUCUUCGUGUGGAUGUCACAAAGUAGAAGUCUGAUAGAAUAUCUUUUGCCAAGUUGACUUUUGAUCCUGACUACUUUGGAGUCAGUUAUGUCCAGGUCCUUAUCAUCACAGCUGUUCAUAAUUACAGCAUCCCAAUUAGUCUCUCUUCUCCAGUCUAUCCCCAAACUAAUCCAUCCUAUAGAUUGCCAGAAGGCUAAUUGUCCUAGAACAGCGUCAUGUGCCAUAUUGCAUUGUUUUGGUCAAUGACGGACCUCAUAUGCAACAGUGGUUCCCUAAGAUUAUAAUGGAGCUGAACAAUUCCUAUUACCUAGUGACAUUGUAGCACAACACAUUACUCACAUGUUUGUGGUUAUGCUGGUAUAAACACGCCUACUGAGGCCCGGCGCGGUGGCUCACGCCUGUAAUCCCAGCACUUUGGGAGGCCAAGGCGGGCAGAUCGAGACCAUCCUGGCUAACACAGUGAAACCCCGUCUCCACUAAAAAUACAAAAAAUUAGCCAGGCGUGGUGGCAGGCGCCUGUGGUCCCAGCUACCCGGGAGGCUGAGGCAGGAGAAUGGCUUGAACCCGGGAGGCGGAGCUGGCAGUGGGUGGAGAUCGUGCCACUGCACUCCAGCCCGGGCGGCAGAGUGAGACUCCAUCUCAAAAAAACAAACAAACAAACAAACAAAAAAACCACACCUACUGAGCUGUCAGUCAUAUAGAAUAUAGUACCAACAAUUAUGUACAUUCAGUACAUAAUGAUUGAUAAGGAUAACAAAUGACUAUGUUACUGGUUUAUGUAUUCAUUAUACUAUACUUUUUAUUGUUAUUUUAGAAUGUACUCUUACUUUAAAAAAAGUUAACUAUAAAACAGCUUCAGGCAAGUCCUUUAGGAGGUAUUAUAGAAGAAGGCACUGGUAUAAGAAAUGGCAGCUCCAGGCCAGGCGCAGUGGCUCACGCCUGUAAUCCCAGCAGUUUGGGAGGCCGAGGUGGGUGGAUCACCUGAGGUCAGGAGUUUGAGACCAGCCUGGCCAACAUGGUGAAACCCUGCCUCUAUUAAAAAUAUAAAAAUUUAGCUGGGUGUGAUGACACACGCCUGUAAUCCCAGCUACUUGGGAGGCUGAGGCAGGAGAAUUGCUUGAACCCGGGAGGUG